UUACUGUUAAGAGUUGUCCCCCCGCCCCCCCCAGAAGAACAGGGUUAAAUAAGUUACUCAGUUACACAGCACAUGCUUGCAUAUAACUGGGGCACACAGCUUCUAGCUUGUGUCUCCUUUAACUGCGAGAUACAUGG